AUUGAACGCUGGCGGCAGGCCUAACACAUGCAAGUCGAACGAGUGGCGGACGGGUGAGGAAUGUCUGGGAAACUGCCUGAUGGAGGGGGAUAACUACUGGAAACGGUAGCUAAUACCGCAUACCAUCGGAUGUGCCCAGAUUGGAUUAGAUAGUAGGUGGGUUAAAGGCUCACCUAGGCGACGAUCCCUAGCUGGUCUGAGAGGAUGACCAGCCACACUGGCACUGAGACACGGGCCAGACUCCUACGGGAGGCAGCAGUGGGGAAUAUUGCAUAAUGGGCGCAAGCCUGAUGCAGCCAUGCCGCGUGUAUGAAGAAGGCCUUCGGGUGUUAAAGUACUUUUAGCGGGGAGGCGUUACCCGCAGAAGAAGCACCGGCUAACUCCGUGCCAGCAGCCGCGGUAAUAC
rnacentral:rRNA from 1 species